GACGAACGCUGGCGGCAGGCCUAACACAUGCAAGUCGAGCGAGCGGCGGACGGGUGAGUAAUGUCUGGGGAUCUGCCUGAUGGAGGGGGAUAACUACUGGAAACGGUAGCUAAUACCGCAUACCAUCAGAUGAACCCAUAUGGGAUUAGCUGGUAGGUAAGGUAACGGCUUACCUAGGCGACGAUCCCUACCUGGUCUGAGAGGAUGAUCAGCCACACUGGUAAUGAGACACGGCCCAGACUCCUACGGGAGGCAGCAGUGGGGAAUAGUGCACAAUGGGCGCAAGCGUGAUGCAGCCAUGCCGCGUGUAUGAAGAAGGCCUGCGGGUUGUAAAGUACUUUCAGUCGGGAGGCGUUACCGACAGAAGAAGCACCGGCUAACUCCGUGCCAGCAGCCGCGGUAAUUC
rnacentral:rRNA from 1 species